GAUGAAGAACGUAGCGAAACGCGAAAGGUAAUGCGAAUUGCAGAAUCAGUGAGUCAUCGAAUCUUUGAACGCACAUUGCGCCUCUCGGUAUUCCGGGAGGCACGCCUGUUCGAGCGUCAUUUCAACCCUUAAGCCUAGCUUAGUAUUGGGAAUCGACUUUACUGUCGUUCCUCAAAUUCAACGGCGGAUUUAUAGCAAUCUCUGAACGUAGUAAUUUUUUUCCUCGUUUUUGAAAUACUAUAAACCUCAGCCGCUAAACCCCCAAUUUUUUUAUGGUUGACCUCGGAUCAGGUAGGAAUACCCGCUGAACUUAAGCAUAUCAAUAAGCGGAGGA
rnacentral:misc_RNA from 1 species